UACGUAGGGGGCAAGCGUUGUCCGGAAUCAUUGGGCGUAAAGCGCGCGUAGGCGGCCCUGUAAGUCCGUUGUGAAAGUCAAAGGCUCAACCUUUGAACGCCGAUGGAUACUGCAGGGCUAGAGUCCGGAAGAGGCGAGUGGAAUUCCUGGUGUAGCGGUGGAAUGCGCAGAUAUCAGGAGGAACACCAAUAGCGAAGGCAGCUCGCUGGGACGGUACUGACGCUAAGGCGCGAAAGCGUGGGGAGCGAACAGG
rnacentral:rRNA from 1 species